AAGUUGCAAAAGCCUCUGCUGAUAAGCUUUCAUAGCCAGAACCUCAGACCAGAGGGAUCUAGAUGAGGUUGACUGAACAAGCAAGCUGAUUUCCAGUCCUUUGGCACGCUGCCCUCUCUCCACUCCCACCACCGAGGAGGGUGCAGCCUCCUCUCAGCUGCAGAUGGCCAUGUGACACAAAUCUGGCCAGUGAGGGUUAAAUCUGUGAUGGCGUUCUCAUUCGUGUUUUCGGGAGACAGUCCUUCCUGUUCUCCUUUCCUCUCUCUUUGAAUGCAUAUGUGAUAACCAAGGGG
rnacentral:lncRNA from 1 species